rnacentral:ncRNA from 1 species
UUAUCGCCUCUAAGUUAUACCAAUUGUUAUUGAGAAAGAAAACUCGAAAGAUAACCAGUUGUAAUAAGUACUGAUAAUACUUA